rnacentral:rRNA from 1 species
AGAAAAUAGAUACCCGGGUAGUCCACGCCGUAAACGAUGUACACUAGACUGGUGCGGUUUUGACGCCGUAUCAGUCGCAGUAAAAAAAACGAUAAGUGUACCGCCUGGGGAGUACGGUCGCAAGGCUAAAACUCAAAUGAAUUGACGGGGGCUCACACAAGCGGUGGAGCAUGUUGCUUAAUUCGAGGCAACGCGAAGAACCUUACCUGGGCUUGACAUGUACGGAUUAACCCUAUGAAAGUAGGGCCACAGUCGCAAGACCGGAACGUGCACAGGUGCUGCAUGGCUGUCGUCAGCUCGUGCUGUGAAGUGUCGGGUUAAGUCCCUUUAACGAGCGCAACCCCUGUCGUUAGUUGCUCACGCGUCAUGGCGAGUACUCUAGCGAGACUGCCGGUGUCAAACCGGNGGAAGGUGGGGAUGACGUCAAGUCCUCAUGGCCCUUACGCCCAGGGUUGCAAACGUGCUACAAUGGUGCAUACAAAGCGAUGCGAGAUCGCGAGAUGGAGCAAAUCGCAAAAAAUGCACCCACGUUC